UGCGGCUGGAUCCCCUCCUUUCUAAGGAGUCACGCCCUGACCCAUCAGGGCACUCUCGAACCCGAGACGUCAUCGUGACGUUUGCAGGGGGACGGAGAAACUCCCAGUUGACGCACUCGCAAGUCCUCUCUUCCGUUGCCAGGGAGUGCUCCCACGCCGAGGCCCAUGUGGUCUCGGCGUGUUGUCGUGCACUCCUUCAUGCGAGCCCCGCCGAAAGGGCGGCUCGAGCUCGCAAUCCGGCCCUUGAGAAUUUCAUAGCGAGCACGAGCAUCUUUGUAGAAAAGAUCCCAAGCUACAAAGGGCCAACGGUGAAUGCCUUGGCAGUGAGAACCGAUGAAGGACGUGGAAGGCUGCGAUAAGCGACGGGGAGGUGCCGAUCAACCUUCGAUCCGUCGAUGUCCGAAUGGGGAAACCCGG
rnacentral:misc_RNA from 1 species